rfam:Camelus ferus unplaced genomic scaffold scaffold2128, whole genome shotgun sequence.
GACGGUAUAGCUCACUGGUAGAGAGCAUGCCUAGCACGCAUGAGAUCCUGGGUUCAAUUCCCAAUACCUCCA